UGUCAAAUCAAAAACCAGUGUUGCCAAGCCAUUGAAACUGUUUUUGGUUCGUUUACUAUCAAAAUGGCAGCAGAAGAAACUGUCAAAGUGUCCAGCAACAACGGUAAUUGGAACCAUAAAUUGUAAAGCUUGUUAAAUUUUGCAACAAUUGAAUCAUUUUCAAAGUGCAAUGGCGAUGAACGCAAAUCAAUCCACAUUAUUUGUUCUCUAUCAAAAUAUGUUCAACCCUCUGCUUCCAUCGACUUAUUGUGUUCACUUAAGAGUCAGUAGGGAGCUUCUUGACGAAAAUCUGUACAGAUGGUUAUUAGGUCACCGCAUUGUCUGCUAUAGCAACUACAAUGUUCAACAAUAUAAUAAUAUGUCGAAUUCGGUUUAUUAUCGAAACCAUCACAUCUGCGAAUUUUUAAACAUUGCCAGUAGCAUGUCGGUGAAUACCCCUGUCCAUCAUCCUUGGUGUUGGGUGUGUCACAGUUUCGGACGAUUUAAUUGUUUCUUGUUUCACCUACUGCAGCAAAAACAAAAUACUGCCCCCGCUAUUGGCGACUCAGAUCAAUUACCGCUGCAUUUAUGUCGGGGAAUCGGUAUUGGACAAGUUAACUCUGGUGCAGAAUGUGAAUUGUUAUCAGGACUAGAAGAGCAGAAACGACAAGCAUCAAAUGAAAGCAACUCCAAGAGCACAAAAAUUGCAUAUUUUGAAAUUGAAAUUCGCCCGAAUGUGAGAAAUGUGCCCCCCAACCUGAACCGAUUCAUACCAUACCGCGUACCAGUAGAUUUUAAUGGGAGCGCUUCCACUGGUUUUAAUCAUUAUUCUUUCCCAACUCCAAAUACGGCCAAUAAUUUGACAGAUAAACAUGUGUGGACACCACCUUCGAUCAUUAAUGAAACAAUGCAGCAGUAGAAGGCUCUGACGAUUUGUAUUUUGCAAUGCUUUUAAUGAAUUCUUACUAAAUACUACAAACAUUUUGGUUGAUAA